rnacentral:lncRNA from 1 species
GUGUUCUUGUGAGAGGAACUGAUCAUCUAUUUGGUGCUCCAGGUACAGGGCUAAAUCAGUUCAAGGCUAUCAAAGAAAUUUUGAUAGAGUUUAAAAUUGCUAAUCAUGUUAGGAUGGUCUGCUUCGAUACUACUGCUAGCAAUACUGGAAUGAUUCGUGGUGCUAUAUACAGACUGCAAAAGGAUGUUGGUAAACCAUUGUUGAUGCUUGCUUGUAGACAUCAUUUUAGAAGUCAUAUUAAAACAUUACUGGUUAGCAGUUACCAUAGACAAAACCACAGGACCUGAAAAUGUACUCUUUAAAGGCUUGAAAAUUAAAUGGAUUGAUAUUAAUAUGAAAAACUGUGUCAUCACUCACUUUAAAUGGCAAUCUAUUUAUGAUUCUUGGUUUAAAAAGCAAGCAAAAAAAGCAAGAAAAUGUUUAAUGCCGAUUGUGAAUGAAGGAGUCUUCAAAAAGUCUCAGAGAGAAGAGAGCAGCUUACCAAACUUGGUGAGUUAGCUCUCAUGUUCUUGGAACCAACAUUCAAGCCUCUCAACAUACACAAGCCUGGAGCAGUACAUCAUGCUUGUUUUAUGGCAAAGAGUAUCUACGAUCUAAAGAUCAUGCUUCUUCUUAAUUCGACCAAGCAAAUCCUAAAAUUGAGCCAGGAGAAGGUUAACGAGGUGGAAAAGAUGGCGAUUUUUAUCUCAAUUUUCUAUGCUCCUCAUUUUCUAAGAGCUGAAAAAUCAGAUACAGCUGCAAUCCAAGACCAGGAUUUUAUCUGACAAAUCGCCCAAUUGGAGAAGUUUGAUGUAGCUGCAGCUUCAGUCUUCAAAAGGUGGGGAAAACACACCUGGUAUUUAGAUUCCACUACUGUUAUUUUUGCCCGAGCCAAUUUAGAUCAGUCUGUGUCUGAUAUUACAAAGGAAGAAAUGGCUAGAAAGCUGGUACAGGUUCCUUGAACAAAGAAGCAUGAUUUUGAGAGAAAGAACAAUUCCGGUUUUAUUCCACAAAAGACUGAGUUUCUCAAAUUCACUGAGCACCUUCACUUGUUAAUUAUGUAGGAGCUGUGUCAUGGUUAGUAUUUGAUAUACUAAAGAGGUACAGGAAAGACUUAUCCAUCCAUACCCCUCCCUAUUUGGGUAAAGAUACAUCAAUAUGUUUUUUACAUUUAUUUUACCAGCCAUAAGGAGGUUGUACAAAACUCUUCAGAUCUAUAUAACUGCUGCAACACUUUGCUAUAAAAUCUUUACACAUCUUUUUAGCUUGCAUACAUGUUCCAAAAAAAAUUUGUAAAACUUAAACACCCCUAAGGUUUUUAUAACUAGAUUUAAUCCCUAGCAUCUUUUGAAGAAUAAGUUUAAUUGACAUAUUUAUGAACUUAGAAGUUUGUUAUAUGCUUAGAAGUUACUUCAAAUAAAAUUAAAAUGAACCAUUGUGAUUAAUAGCUCAGGUAUUUUGCUUAUCUUAAAUGUUUUUUCUACUAGGCUUACAAUAAAAAAAAAAAAAAAAAAAAGGUAGUAGUAAAUUCUAUUCAAAAUAGUUUCUCAGAUCUGUAUCAACUUCAGAUCUGCAGCAUCUUCAACUACUUUUA